rnacentral:rRNA from 1 species
AUUGAACGCUGGCGGCAGGCCUAACACAUGCAAGUCGAGCGGAUGAAGGUAGCUUGCUACCUGAUUCAGCGGCGGACGGGUGUGUAAUGCCUAGGAAUCUGCCUGGUAGUGGGGGACAACGUUUCGAAAGGAACGCUAAUACCGCAUACGUCCUACGGGAGAAAGUGGGGGAUCUUCGGACCUCACGCUAUCAGAUGAGCCUAGGUACGAUUAGCUAGUUGGUGAGGUAAAGGCUCACCAAGGCGACGAUCGUUAACUGGUCUGAGAGGAUGAUCAGUCACACUGGAACUGAGACACGGUCCAGACUCCUAUGGGAGGCAGCAGUGGGGAAUAUUGGACAAUGGGCGAAAGCCUGAUCCAGCCAUGCCGCGUGUGUGAAGAAGGUCUUCGGAUUGUAAAGCACUUUAAGUUGGGAGGAAGGGCAGUAAGUUAAUACCUUGCUGUUUUGACGUUACCGACAGAAUAAGCACCGGCUAACUUCGUGCCAGCAGCCGCUGUAAAAC